ACAGGGAAGCUUGGCAUGCUGCAGUCCACGGGGUUGCAAAGAGUCAGACACUACUGAGUGACUGAAAAACAACAUAUCCUGCUGUCUCUGCGCAUAGGGGGAAAUGUGCCAGGGGCAGAGGGCAGGGCUGAUUGACCUUCGGUCAGAGGCUCAGGAGGAUUAGGCUAAGGGGAAGGGGCAGGGCCUGGGUGUCGUAUGCCAGCACCAGCGGCAGAAACCUGGGAAUUCAACCUGGAAAACUAGUGAAUAGUCCUGGAUUCCAAUGCCUCCGUUUAACAAAUGGGGAAAUUGAAGCCCAGGGAGGGAAGCUGACCUGCACAGAGUCAUCUAGAAAAGUGGGAGCUGAAUCUAGGCCAGCUUCUCGAACCCAGUCCACGGAGUCCAGAGUGUGGGGCCGCCUCCCAUAUUCCCCAGGCCAUACACGGGGGCCCUGGUGGCCUGGCUGGUGUUGGUGCGGACCAGAGGUGAGUAGAUUUGGACUCUGUCCUCCAGGAGCUCCCAGGUCAGAGGUGGGAGGGAGGGAAGCAGGCCACCUCCUCAGGCCCUGCUCAGCCACCUCCCAGCUGUGGGACCUGACGCAGCAGCAGCCUCUCUGAGCCUGGGUCUCAUCGGGGUCUCCGCAGCUCUGAAACAGGGACAGUGAUGGUUGUAUAAGGGGAAAGACCAAGGGACAUGAGGCAGGGGGCGCUGACCACCGGCCCAACAAAUGGCCGCUCUGCGCAAGUCACUGUUUUUUUUUUUCUUUAUGACGUUGACUGUUGUCAUGACGGUCACUCCUGGAGGCAGAUUCAGGCUGAGGGAGAGUCUGGAGCACGCUUCAGAGCCAGACGAGGGCUGGACUGGUCGGAGUCCGUGUGGGUUUUACGGAGGAGCCUCUGAGACAGGUCCAAUUGGGCAGAAAUGAAACUUCAGUGCAGCUGGCGGAGUGCCCUGGCAGGCGAGGAAAGCCCUGCUUUGAGCCCGGAAGUGGGUGGUGGGAGACUGGGGGAGGGGCCACGCAUCCCGGAAGUGAGGAUGCCUGUGUGACGUGAUGCGGGUCCAUGGCCUGUGACAUGCAAACCAUGAUCUCCUCCACUGCUGAGAGCAGCCAUGAGGCAAGCGUCAUGCUGGGGCUCAGGGCAAGUCACCCCAAGAUAUACCAAAGUAGCAAAUGCAUUAGUUUGAAUUAAAGACCCUUGAGGAACAACCAGAGCAAGCAGAACAUUCUGACCCCCCCUCUUUGUACCCUGAAGGCAGAAAAUAAAUCUCCCAUGUGAAGGAUGUACUCUUUGUGCCAGGCGGUAGAGAGACAUCCUAUCACCAGAUGUAGGGAAUUUGGGGCCAAGGAGGCUAUGUAAACAAACUCUGCUUCCAGAAUUCACUAAUUAGUACCCAAGCACAAGUUUCCUUGUCUAAUCAGUUCUUCACAAAUAUUAAAAUAUAGUUUCUAUGUCUAAAAGGCAUAAAACUGCCUGCUUUGGCCAUUUUCUUUGAGUCUCACAUUUCUAUACACUCCUGUAUGUACAAAAUUAAAAUAUGAUUUUCUCCUGUGAAUCUGUCUCAUGUCAAUUUAAUGACUAGAUCAGCCAGAAGAACCUAGAAGGGUAGAGACAAAAAUUUUUUCCUCCCCAAGUGUUGGCGGAGUCAACUUAGAUCCUGGGACCCCUGAUAAGUGCAGACAGAAGGUAGGAAUUCUUACUGCCUCAGCCUCCUGGAUCUCUGCCUACGGCAUCUGUUGCUAGCAAGAGUGGAGGAAAAACCACAGAACAAAACACAGGCAGAGACCCUACAAGCUACUCACAGACUGGUUUCAUCAAAAGAUCAUUUGAAUGCUGAGCAACUUCCAUA